UACGGAGGGCGCGAGCGUUAAUCGGAAUUAUUGGGCGUAAAUCGCACGUAGGCGGUUUGUUAAGCUAGAUGUUAAAGCCCAGGGCUCAACCUUGGAAUUGCACCUGAUACUGCUUCGCUAGAGUAUGGUAGAGGGGUGUGGAAUUUCCUGUGUAGCGGUGAAAUGCGUAGAUAUAGGAAGGAACACCAGUGGCGAAGGCGACACCCUGGACCAAUACUGACACUGAGGUGCGAAAGCGUGGGUAGCAGACAGG
rnacentral:misc_RNA from 1 species